UACGUAGGGUGCAAGCGUUGUCCGGAAUUAUUGGGCGUAAAGAGCUCGUAGGCGGCUUGUCACGUCGACUGUGAAAACCCGGGGCUCAACUCCGGGCCUGCAGUCGAUACGGGCUGGCUUGAGUGCGGUAGGGGAGACUGGAAUUCCUGGUGUAGCGGUGAAAUGCGCAGAUAUCAGGAGGAACACCGGUGGCGAAGGCGGGUUGCUGGGCCGACACUGACGCUGAGGCGCGAAAGCCAGGGGAGCGAACGGG
rnacentral:rRNA from 1 species